AGGCCCUCCUACGAUACCAAUCGCGUGGCGGGUGUGGUACUGCCGAACCCGAGGAAUGAGAAAGGAGGCCCGGCAGAAAGUUCGGAUCAGCUGCCGGCCGUUCCCGGCGUAGCCUAGGGCGGGGAGGGAUUGACUCCCCGGAACAUCCCGGGGUAAAGACCUCGCAUAACAGCGAAACCGCUGAGGGACUGUUGUGUGGCGAGGCCUUGGAGACAGACAGGCCCACACACUCCCUUUCCUCGUGAGGGUCACCGACCUGCCUACUUGGGAACGACAUAGACCUGACAGUUGUGUUUGGGGGUGGAGGUUGAUGACCAGUUAUUGAAUGAAUCGCAGAGACAUUUGCGUAGGAGUGUUGAUGCAAGAUUUUCUUCUUUUUUUUUUUUUUUUUGAGAUGGAGUCUCGCUGUCUCCCAGGCUGCAGUGUAGUGGCAGGAUCUCGGCUUACAACAACCUCCGCCUCCCGGGUUCAAGCGAUUCUCCUGCCUCAGCCUCCCGAGUAGCUGGGACUACAG
rnacentral:lncRNA from 1 species